UACGGGGGGGUAAGCGUUGUUCGGAAUUACUGGGCGUAAAGGGCUCGUAGGCGGCCAACUAAGUCAUACGUGAAAUCCCUCAGCUUAACUGGGGAACUGCGUGUGAUACUGGAUGGCUUGGAUUUGGGAGAGGGAUGCGGAAUUCCAGGUGUAGCGGUGAAAUGCGUAGAGAUCAGGAGGAACACCCAUGGCGAAGGCAGCUCUCUGGUCGACCUCUGACGCUGAGACGCGAAAGCGUGGGGAGCGAACGGG
rnacentral:rRNA from 1 species